UACAGAGGGUGCGAGCGUUAAUCGGAAUUACUGGGCGUAAAGCGCGCGUAGGCGGCUUGUUAAGUCGGAUGUGAAAUCCCUGGGCUCAACCUAGGCAUUGCAUUCGAUACUGGCAAGCUAGAGUAUGGGAGAGGAAGGUAGAAUUCCAGGUGUAGCGGUGAAAUGCGUAGAGAUCUGGAGGAAUACCGAUGGCGAAGGCAACCUUCUGGCCUAAUACUGACGCUGAGGUGCGAAAGCAUGGGGAGCAAACAGG
rnacentral:rRNA from 1 species